rnacentral:rRNA from 1 species
UUUACCUUCGGGUAUUGAGGAUGGCGGACGGGUGAGUAACGCGUAAGGAACUUGCCUCUUGGACUGGGACAACUGUUGGAAACGACAGCUAAUACCGGAUAUUAUGAGAUUCUCGCAUGAGAAACUUAUGAAAGCUAUAUGCGCCAAGAGAGAGCCUUGCGUUCCAUUAGCUAGUUGGUGGGGGUUAAUGGCCCACCAAGGCAACGGUGGAUAGCCGGCCUGAGAGGGUGAACGGCCACAAGGGGACUGAGACACGGCCCUUACUCCUACGGGAGGCAGCAGUGGGGAAUAUUGGACAAUGGGCCACAAGCCUGAUCCAGCAAUUCUGUGUGCACGAUGAAGGUCUUCGGAUUGUAAAGUGCUUUCAGUUGGGAAGAAGAAAGUGACGGUACCAACAGAAGAAGCGACGGCUAAAUACGUGCCAGCAGCCGCGGUAAUACGUAUGUCGCAAGCGUUAUCCGGAUUUAUUGGGCGUAAAGCGCGUCUAGGCGGAAAAAUAAGUCUGAUGUUAAAAUGCGGGGCUCAACUCCGUAUUGCGUUGGAAACUGUUUUUCUAGAGUACUGGAGAGGUGGGCGGAACUACAAGUGUAGAGGUGAAAUUCGUAGAUAUUUGUAGGAAUGCCGAUGGAGAAGUCAGCUCACUGGACAGAUACUGACGCUGAAGCGCGAAAGCGUGGGGAGCAAACAGGAUUAGAUACCCUGGUAGUCCACGCCGUAAACGA